UCCGGUAUGGUGUAACGGCUAACAUUGCCGCCUUUCAUCCUUGAAAGUGUCGCGGCAGCUCGGGGUUCGAUUCCCCGUACCGGAA